rnacentral:rRNA from 1 species
UGCAGUCGAACGGUGAACACGGAGCUUGCUCUGUGGGAUCAGUGGCGAACGGGUGAGUAACACGUGAGCAACCUGCCCCUGACUCUGGGAUAAGCGCUGGAAACGGCGUCUAAUACUGGAUAUGUGACGUGACCGCAUGGUCUGCGUCUGGAAAGAAUUUCGGUUGGGGAUGGGCUCGCGGCCUAUCAGCUUGUUGGUGAGGUAAUGGCUCACCAAGGCGUCGACGGGUAGCCGGCCUGAGAGGGUGACCGGCCACACUGGGACUGAGACACGGCCCAGACUCCUACGGGAGGCAGCAGUGGGGAAUAUUGCACAAUGGGCGCAAGCCUGAUGCAGCAACGCCGCGUGAGGGACGACGGCCUUCGGGUUGUAAACCUCUUUUAGCAGGGAAGAAGCGAAAGUGACGGUACCUGCAGAAAAAGCGCCGGCUAACUACGUGCCAGCAGCCGCGGUAAUACGUAGGGCGCAAGCGUUAUCCGGAAUUAUUGGGCGUAAAGAGCUCGUAGGCGGUUUGUCGCGUCUGCUGUGAAAUCCGGAGGCUCAACCUCCGGCCUGCAGUGGGUACGGGCAGACUAGAGUGCGGUAGGGGAGAUUGGAAUUCCUGGUGUAGCGGUGGAAUGCGCAGAUAUCAGGAGGAACACCGAUGGCGAAGGCAGAUCUCUGGGCCGUAACUGACGCUGAGGAGCGAAAGGGUGGGGAGCAAACAGGCUUAGAUACCCUGGUAGUCCACCCCGUAAACGUUGGGAACUAGUUGUGGGGUCCAUUCCACGGAUUCCGUGACGCAGCUAACGCAUUAAGUUCCCCGCCUGGGGAGUACGGCCGCAAGGCUAAAACUCAAAGGAAUUGACGGGGACCCGCACAAGCGGCGGAGCAUGCGGAUUAAUUCGAUGCAACGCGAAGAA